GAUGUUCUCAAGUAUUUCCAUAAAAAUCACGAAGUAUGCCUGCAGGCACUGGCAUUCGGCAGAGCUGUUUAAGACACCCCUGCAGCAAGGAAAUUGAACUAAGAGCAGCACAGGCAUUCCUGGUGCUGGGAACCAUGACCACAAAAGGCUGCCCAGGGUCUGAGUGCUUUGAGCCAGGUGGGAGGGGAUCUGCCCUAAGGACAUAAGGCACGCUGGCCAUGCCCUAGCAGCCUGGUCACCGUAACUUUCCUCUUCACAGAGCAAGGAGUUAGGACAUGGAGAAGGUGAGAAUUGAACCCAGCUCAAAUUAACAGUCACAUGGACCCAAGUACCUGCUCACUAUGGCCUCACUGGUGCCUCCAUCUCUUCCUAGGCAGAGAGGGCAGGAAGAGGUGGCAAUUACAUUUUCUUUGUCCAGAAAACUGGCAGGUGUGGUGGGGUUGAGCCCUCUGAGUUAUCAUCUGAACCAGACAGCUCCAGGAAGUCCCUUCCUUCCCUGGAACCAGCAGGGCAGGCGAUGUGGGAGUUAUUAAUUCUUUAUUAGGAUUCAGGUUUCAAACAAGGUAGAAGCCAAAUGGGAACCCUGGGCUGGAAGGGGUG
rnacentral:lncRNA from 1 species